GAGUAAUUAGGCCACUAGUUUAUAAACUGUUAGUCCCUGCCUGAGAGGUGAUCUUGGAAUUAAAUAAAAUGGAGAUUCAACUUCUUGCUAUGCUGUCUUUAAUUAAAAAUUCUUUUUUCUGUAGGUUGACUUUCCAUGUUGCUUGGAAACAAAGAGUAAAGACGUUAGCCCCCAGGGCUUCCGGGCUCCCAGGAGGAGGCUGGCAGUAGUGAAAACACUGAGGGCAGAAUAUUUUCACAUAAACAGUGUGAAGGCGGCAGGGAAGUGAUCAUUUCCUUCCCUUGUUUAGUCAGACCGCAUUUCCUGUCACCCCCCUGUGCAUUUCUGGAAAGUUUUAGAAGCUACAAGAUGUUGGGAUUGCUCUUGGUGGUGCUACAGGGGGACUAUAUAUGCGUUUAAUUCAUUUGGUUUUGCUUUCUGACUUGUGAUUAGAACACAAACGGCAUAGCAUUCUACCAUCGGGACUGUUUGGAGUGCACCGCUCAGCGGCAGUAGGCACAACGUUGUUGUGCGGCGGUCACCGUCUACUGAAGCUCUUAGUAACUUCGCAGUUCGUCUGCCUACCUGGCCCCCAGCAUCCGACACACUUUCUGUCUGCCUGCACCUGACUGCGCCAGCUACAAGUGGAUUCUCCAUGCAAGUGGAAUUGUACAGUGUUGAUCUUCUGGUGGCUGGCUUCUCACACUUGGCUAAAUGUCUUCAAGAUUCAUCCAUGUUGUAGCAUGUGUCAGAAUGUCCUUACUUUUUAAGGCUGGAUAAUAUCCUACGUAAGACAGCCGCUGAGACAGAGUUUGUCUGCUUCAUUCCCUGCUAUAUCCUGGUGCCUACAGCAACUCCUGACACAGUCUCAGAACCAUCUCUGGACACUGGUGGGGAUGUAUGCUUGCCUGUCUUUUAAGAGACUCCAAGUAGCAGUGAGCUACAUAAGGCCAUAGCAGAGAGUGGGACUGGAAGAGGAGCAGCUGGGACUAGAACCCUCGUCCAUAUGGGAUGCCAGCACUGCAGACGGAGGAUUAACCCACUGCGCCACGGCAACUUUAUUCUUGUAUUAUUAGUGCAUACCUCAUUCAGACGUCCUUUUAUUUCACGGUACAUUUAAAUAAAUUAAUUAAUUAACCUGAGAGGCAGAGUGAGACACGCCGGUUGGGGGGCGCACUCGAUCCGAGGCCAUUACCAGGGAAGGGGAA